rnacentral:rRNA from 1 species
GUGGGGGAUAUUGCACAAUGGGGGAAACCCUGAUGCAGCGACGCCGCGUGAGGGAAGACGGUUUUCGGAUUGUAAACCUCUGUCUUCGGGGACGAACGAAAUGACGGUACCCGAGGAGGAAGCCACGGCUAACUACGUGCCAGCAGCCGCGGUAAUACGUAGGUGGCAAGCGUUGUCCGGAAUUACUGGGUGUAAAGGGAGCGUAGGCGGGAGUGCAAGUUGAAUGUCAAAUACAUCGGCUCAACCGAUGUUCGCGUUCAAAACUGCAUUUCUUGAGUGAAGUAGAGGCAGGCGGAAUUCCUAGUGUAGCGGUGAAAUGCGUAGAUAUUAGGAGGAACACCAGUGGCGAAGGCGGCCUGCUGGGCUUUUACUGACGCUGAGGCUCGAAAGUGUGGGGAGCAAACAGGAUUAGAAACCCGUGUAGUCC